AACGAGCGCAACCCUUGUCAUUAGUUGCUACAUUCAGUUGGGCACGUCUAAUGAGACUGCCGGUGACAAACCGGAGGAAGGUGGGGAUGACGUCAAGUCCUCAUGGCCCUUAUGGGUAGGGCUUCACACGUCAUACAAUGGUCGGUACAGAGGGUUGCCAACCCGCAGGGGGAGCUAAUCCCACAAAGCCGAUCGUAGUCCGGAUCGCAGUCUGCAACUCGACUGCGUGAAGUCGGAAUCGCUAGUAAUCGUGGAUCAGCAUGUCACGGUGAAUACGUUCCCGGGUCUU
rnacentral:rRNA from 1 species